rnacentral:misc_RNA from 1 species
UUUCAAUCUGUUCUGUGACUUGAAAGUUGAAAGAUUCUUUUUAUAAAGAAUAAGAAUGGUCACUAACAUGGAAGAGAUGUAAACAAAUAAAGAUAAUUUUAAAUUAGUCUCAAUGGAUUCAUAAUGAAGAAUUUGAAAAGUGUUUCAGUGCAAGUUGUCAACAGCGAUUUAGCUUUGCUGUUACCUAAUGGUGUCUAUGAGAUCAAACAAAUGGAAAGCAGGUCCUCCAGAUUAAAGCAAAUAUGUCUUUUUUGCUUGGUGUUGUGUAUUUUUGGGAUCUUCGGGUUUGGAUAUUUUUGUCCAGAUAAGGUCUGUGCACUGAGCUCGCGGGAGGCUGUGUAUGUUGAUGAUAAUUUAGGAAAACCGUUGGCUCACACGAGAUCCAAAGUGGGCCUAAGCUACGACGAUAUGCUUAACGAUGAUUUUACCUUCGAUAUGGAUUCGCACGACGUCGUCGUGUUUCUUCAUAUGCAGAAAACAGGUGGUACAUCAUUCGGAAAACACCUUGUCCACGAUCUGGAUUUGAAACGUCCAUGUACGUGUCCUAUAAGCCGCAAAAGAUGUUAUUGUUUUCGGCCUCAUUCGAAUCAAAGUUGGUUAUUCAGCCGAUACACGACAGGAUGGAAAUGCGGCCUACAUGCCGAUUGGACGGAAUUGACGACUUGCGUCGAUGAAAAAUUAGACGAGCUUGAAGAUGUAGUUAAGAGAAGAUAUUUUUAUAUAACGCUGCUGAGGGAGCCCGUAGCCAGAUACUUAUCAGAAUUCCGCCACGUGCAAAGAGGAGCAACCUGGAAAGGAUCCAGACAUUUUUGCAACGGACGGUUAGCCACAGAUAAGGAAGUGCCUCCUUGUUAUAAAGGAGAGGAUUGGGAGGGCGUCAAAUUAGACGACUUUAUGAACUGUCAGAGCAAUUUAGCCGUUAAUAGACAGACUAGGAUGUUGUCCGACUUGGAACUUAUAGGUUGCUAUAACAAAACGUAUAUGCCACAAGCCGAACGUGACAAAAUCAUGUUGGCCAGCGCUAAGAAGAACCUCCUCGCCAUGGCCUUCUUCGGACUAACAGAGUACCAGAAGAUUUCCCAAUAUAUCUUCGAAGAAACCUUCAAUCUCAGAUUCGCAAUUCCUUUCGAACAAAACAACGCGACGGUCUCCAGCUACACCCUAACAACUCUAACGUCAGCUCAGUCCGAGAAGAUUAAGAAGUUGAACAAUUUGGACUUGGAGCUGUACAGUUUCGCUAAGAAAAUUUUAUUCGAGCGGUUCGAGAGGUUAAAAAGUCGCGAUGCGGACUUCAAGGGCCGGUUCAAGAAUCUGGGAGUGUUGAACGUGAAGCAAGGGCCUACCGAAUUCGAUUGGGAUAAAUUGGAGGAUCCUACGGAUUCUCCUUAAGUCUAAGGGCAGCUCAAAUAAAGUCUGAUAUUAGAAGUGCCAUGAUUCCCCGUUUUUCUAUGAAAAAUAAUUGUAAGGGUUGUACAGUGUGAACGGAAGACGCAUUUUGGUUAGAUGCGUAGCCGUUAGAUGGAGGUAGUCUUAGGUUUCUGAGUUUCGAAACGAUUUUUUUAACAAACAUCAGCUUAUUUUGUCUUCCCUACUAUCUAAGUAUUUUUAACUUAUUUAUUACAUUGAUUUGAAUAUUACAACACUAAAUAUAUAAAACUUAUGGGGACUUUAAUCAGGAAAAAGGCAAUUUUUAAAUAUUUUUAAAGAAAAAAGUAUUAUAUUUAUAUUUAUAAUUUUUUUAUAAAUUGUUAAGAAGGUUUCGAGGUAUACAAAAAAAAAUUGCAGUUUUAGUUGUUUUUCAUCACUGCAGAGGGCGUCUUCCAAAAGAUACAUUUUAAUUUGGGAGACAUUUUUCUGCCUUCCUGUAACAGUUUUUUUAAUACCAACGGUAUUCAAUUUGUGAGACUUAAAACUGAUAAAUAAACCUUUAAAAAGUUUUUUAUAUAUUUUUUAUGGCCUUUACACGCAAUUUUAUAAAGAGUUCGAAAAACGUCUUGUUGUGAGGGUGAAUUUACUCCUGUACUAUUUUUUUACUUUUAUGUUUAUUUAGUAGUACUUAGUUAAAAAAAUUUUGGUUUACUGAGAUUGGUGUAGCAGAUUCUGAGAAAAACGUCGUCUCCCAGUGUUGAAAAAUGUGAUUCCUAAAAAAACGCGUUUAAAGUAUUUUUACUGUAAUUUUAUCGAAUAAAAUGGUCAUAUUUAUUUUUUCCUCUAAUUAGCGAUUUCUGGAGCAUAUUGGCUGCACUCACUGUCCACACGUGCUCGCUUUAUACGUUUUAGAGAACUGAACUGUCAAGUUGCAGCUGCACAGGUCAGUCAUCGCGCGCGUUGUUGUACACAAACGCGUUUUAGCACAGGUAGGUACCGUAAUAAAUACAGCUAUAACUUCGUUUCUAUUUCUAAAUUCUUAAUACAAUUUUAGGAUAAUAUUUCUAUGAUACUAAGAAAUGUUUUUACGUAAAAAAAACCAAAAAUCGAUUUUUUUUAUGUAGAAAGUAAAAGUCCCUUUAAUAUUCUUAAGAAUUAACCUAAAAAUAUGUUUUUUUCAUGAGACUACCUCCACUAGUAAGUGUUAGAAAGUGUGCAUUAUAUCAGAAUACGAUUUUAAAUUAACGUUGAAGGCAUUUUGUGUUAAAUAUAACUUGUUUAUUAUAAGAAGACGCUGACGUUGUUUCACGAACCUAUGAUAAUUUCCAAAUGAAAUUUGUCUGUAUGUAUGUCCUAUGGGAAAUUGUAAAAGGGCCAUUUUAAUACAUUGAAUUUAUAUAGUUGCUCCAUUAUAUCUUUACACAAACGUCAUGAUUCAUUUGCAAACACGUUAAAUCAAGACAUUAAGUGAAACGUAGGUCCAAUUGAUAUUCUUGUUCUCAUGAUCAUUUUUCAGUGCGUCAUUAAUUAUGACGUCAUAUACUGUAUUGGCUGUGUCGAGACUUAUUUCAUGUAAUUAUUGACGAAUCUGACAGAUGCCACAAUCGUACUUAGCCAUAGGUGAAAAGCUUGUGGAAUUAGUAAUUUAGUAGAUUUGAUUUUUACACAAUAUGUUAACAUGUAGGUAUUUUUUAUAAAGGGGAAUAUAAUUAAAAAGUAAACAAUAUUGUUAAUUAAAUUUAUAAAUAUGGAAACAUUAAAAAAUGACACAAAACUAUCCAUAAACUGUGUUUUUAUCUUCUUCUCUAGGUGCUGUCUCCGCUUCAAAAGUUAGCAAUCAUCAGAGAGAUCUUUAUUUCUGAAACAGCGGCUCUAAAUAAUUCAUUGUUAUUACAUCCAAACCAGUUCCUAAGAUUCUUCAGCCAUGAGUUACGUCUCCUUACUAUGGAUCUUUUUCUUGCAUAAUGAUCUGGAGUAUUAGAUAUACAUCUCUCAUCACAUGUCCCAUAUAUCUCAGUUUUCUUCUUAUUUGUUAGUUUUCGUUCCUUAUGCGUAAGUCUCAUUACCUCCACGUUGGCUAUUCUAUCUACUCAUGAGAUAUUUAGCACUCUUCGGUACAUCUCGAAUGUCUCUAGUCUCCUCACGUCAAUGACUAACUUUUAACGAACUAAAUUUGAAACCAAAACACAAAAUAAUGCACAAAGACGUUGUGAAACACAAGUGAAGUCGAAUUCGAAAUUUCAAAAUGACAGGUACACAAAAUACUGACCUGAAUAAUAACCGUCACUUGACUCUUUGACACUUCUAAAAAAUGGCCAAAAUGGACGAAGUUUUCGUCAAAUGUUCGUAAUACGUGUAUUUGAUUGGCUAGAAAAAACGCGCAUUCUAAAUAUCAACGAAUCAAACGUAGGUUAGGAAUAGACAUCUUAUGUAUAUAACCAUUGUAAUGCUGCAUUAUUUUUGUGUUUAAUCACGGAGCUACCGCUUUUUCCGUCUCAUCUAACUUAAUGCAUUAGAGAGAAAUCGAAAAACUGUGACGCACUGAAAAAUGAUCAUGAGAACAAGAAUAUGUAUUGUCAAUGCAAUAAUUAGGAAAUGGUUAUUAUCGGUGGACGUAUUUUAUAAAGUUGUAUUGUACAUUUCUAUUUAACUAUGAUUUUAUUAACAUUUCAACGUCCACAUCGGACGUCGUUGUCAAAAUACAAAAUAUUAAUAAAUUAACAAAAAUAUUGUUGCUUAGUAAAAAAUUCUUCUAAUAAUUUAAUUUAAUCUGACUGAUUUAUAUCGGCAAUUCAGACAUAUAUUAUACAUUUUAAAGUAGAAGACUUUAAAAUUAUAUUGCCAAUAUUUAUGAGUUGCGUUUUUAUUUCCCAUUUAGAAUAGUUAAUUACACAAAUGCCACAAAGAAAUAGCUUCUGAACAACAUUGUACAGUGUGUCCACGGAUGGGGUGCCCAAGAGGAAAAACUUUCUUAUUUUCAGUUUAAGCGAAAAUGGUCAUUCUUGAUAAAAAUUUUUGCUUGUCCUAAAACCUCAUACAACGAAAUAAAAUUCAAGUUUUUCAAAACCUGCUUAAUUUUGUAGCCAAUUUUAUGCAAAUCCCUAUAAAUUUUUGCACCAAAUUCAAAAUCAUAACAAUAAUCUAGUGUUGUUAAGCUACAAUGUAGCUUAGUAACUGUCAACUCCGAUAAAUAAUUUGCGAAUUGUCAUUCUUUUUCGACAAGAAAAUGUUAAGCAUCCAAUCAUAAUUUUUUUUUUGAACACUAAGCAUUGUCGAAAAGAAUGACAAUUCACAAAUUAUUUAUCGGAGUUGACAGUUACUAAGCUAGGUAUAUUGUAGCUUAGGCAACAUUGUAGCUUAGCAACACUAGUUUAUUGUUACGAUUUGGAACUUAGUGCAAAAAUGUAUAGUAAAUUUACAUAAAAUAGGCUACAAAAUUAAGCAGGUUUUGAAAAACUUGAAUUUGAUUUCGUUUUAUGGGGUUUUAGAAUAAGCAAAACUUUUAUCAAGAAUGACAUUUUUCGCUAAAAUUCAAAACAAGAAAGUUUUUCCUCUUGGGCACCCAAUCCGUGGACAACUGUAUAAUAUAUUUAACACAAUAUAGCUUUAUAAAAUAAACAACAAUAUAAGUUGUCACAAAUUCCAAUAAACACAACAAAUGCUCUAAUGUCACUGUCACUGAAAAUGAUAAACGUCAAAAUUCAUAAUAAACAAGGUAGGUAUUAAAGACAUGCCGUAUUGUUUAUCCUUGUUUAACUUAUUGAGGUUUCUACUGACAAGCGGUUUAAUUGUGCGAUAGUAGUUCCUGUGAAUAAAAAAGAGACCUAGUAUAAAAAGUAAUUCGUGAAUAAUUACAUGCACGUGCAAAGAUAGAAUGGAAGAACUAUAGCUAAAUUUACUUCAUUUGGAUGGUGCUUAAUAUUGUCAGUUGUAGAUUGAAAAAUUUCUUUGAAUGUAUCUCUAGGCAUCUCCGUAAACAAAGCAAAGCGGAGAACUAUUGUUAGUCAAUGUUUUGUCAGUUUUUUGCUAAUAGAAAAAUAAUCUAUGUAAUUUUCUCUUAAAACGAUUUUUAUCAAAAUCUACACAUUCACAUAAUGCUAGUUGUGACGUCAUUGUCUACUUAAAGUAAAUAGAGUAUAAAUAUAUUUAUAUACGGCAUUUGUCAAACUUGGUGAACCAACGACGUAAAAUUUACGAAGUAAAGUGCAUUAAAUGCUUGGCAAGAUUUUGAAAAGACAAAAUAGUGGCUCACUAGGUUUAUAGUUUGCUGAAAAACUUAAAUAAAUUAUAUUUAUAUGUGAGAUAUAUUUAUGAGAUGUUAGAAUAACAGUAAAGAGCAUGUUUUCCGUUAAGUAAAUGUGUCAGCUAUGUAAGCAAUUUAUACAUAGUAUGUAAAGGAUACUUUAAGGGAUUUUAAACAUCCCUUAUAACUGGAAAUAAUCCUUACUGUUUUUACUGGUGAUUUUCCUAUUGUUGUUUUCGACUUGCACACCUAUUUCUUUUACGAAAAUAAUAUGUUCAUAUCACUUGAUGUGUUAGAAUUUUUAACAUAUUAUCCACUAAAGAAAGUGAGAUGUUUUUUUUCGUGGUGAAUUUGAAUUAUUCUUCUUUACUGUUAAUGUGUAUCAGAAAUUUAUUUACUGCUUCUGGUCCGUGAGGCCAAAUGGAGAACACACAUCAUCUACAUAUCUCCACCAUACUGGGGGUUGUUGGUGAAGUUUAUGCACAUUGUUUUGUUCGAAUUCAUCGAUGAAAAUGUCUGCUAAUAAUGGAGAGAAGCAUAAGCCCAUGGCUUGUAGUGGGGUGAGAGUGUUCUUCUUUGGUAGUCUGUCAGGUUUUCCUUGAAUUUAAUGUCAUAAACAUUUCCUGAAUACAGGUCAUAAAUUUAAUCACAUAUUCUGGGACCAAAAAUAGUUCGAUAAGACCUAACUUAUCUUAGUACAAAUGUGCACAUAAAAAAAGUUACAACCUUUUGAAGUUACAAAAUGAAAACUAUUAGACUUUUUAUUGAAAAUGGACAUGUGGCAUUCUUAUGGCAGUAGCAUCUUAAGAAAAAAUAAUAGUAAAAUUUGGACACCCCAUAAAAAUUUUAUGGGGGUUUUGUUCCUUUAAACCCCCCCAAACUUUUGUGUACGUUCCAAUUAAAUUAUUAUUGUAAUACCGUUAGUUAAACACUGUGUUUUUAAAAUUUUUUUGCCCCUAGUACUUUUUCGAAAAGUCAGUUUUUAUCGAGAUAUUUUGAAUAUUUGUCAAAUCGACCACAUAUUUGUAUAUGGUUAAGUACGAUUAUGGAGACUUGGUAAUAAUAUGAAAAUUUAUGUAUGAUUUACAUUUUUAGGUAUAUUUUGAACCGUAUAUUAAAAAAGCUACAUCUCGAUACAAGGUGCCUUCUCGAAAAAAUACAAAGAGGCAAAAAAGUUUUAUAAACACUGUGUUUAACUAAUGGUACCACAAUAAUAAUUUAAUUGAGACGUACACAAAAGUUUGGGGGGGGGGGGCUUAAGGGAACAAAACCCCCAUAAAAUUUUUAUGGGGUGCACAAAUGUCACUAUAAUUUUUCUUUAAGAUGUUCCUGCCAUAAGAAUGCCACAUGUCCAUUUUCAAUAAAAAAUCUCUAAUAGUUUUCGAUAUAUUCGAAAAAAUCGAUUUUCAUUUUGUAACUUCAAAGGGCUGUAACUUUUUUUAUGUGCAUAUUUGUACUAAGGUAAGUUAGGUUCAUUCGAACUAUUUUUGGUCCCAGAAUAUGCGAUUUAAUUUAUGACCUGUAUUUUUGUUUCACCCUGUAUAAUGUGUUUUCUAGCGAUUUGGUUGGAUCUUUUUUUAGUUGUGUGUAAGGUCCAUUUGCGACCGAUUCUUGGAUUUUCUCCUAUUAUAGACUCUUUUAAGAGAUUUGAUAGCUUUGAGUUCCUUUUUACUAACGUUUGAUUUUGUGCUUUUCUUCAGUUCACUUUUACACAGUACUCUAUUCCUCUGUUUCGUUUGUUGGUAGUUCUUCACAGACUUUUUCAACCGCACUAAUUAUGUCUAGUUUGUGAACGUUACAGCAUAAUUUCGACCAGUGGUUCUCAACCUUUUUGAGUCAAGUACCACCAAAUUAUUUUUGGUACCACUUAACUGAAAUACCUACCUCGUAACUAGGUAAUCUAAGCAACUCUAAUUUAUAUGCUGGAAUUUUAAAGAAUAGAUAAAAAAUUCAACAAGAGUAAAAAGUUCAACAAACCAAUUAGUGAGAAGGUUGUGUUUGGGUAUUUCCACAUAACUUGUUAUUAUCUGAUUCAGUGUUGCUCAGAUAUAGUCGAAGAUCAGAUUCUAUAUUAUUGUUAAGUUCUUAAAUAUUUAGCAUUGCGAAAAAUCCAUUCUCGCACAGGUGUGUUGUCGAAAAGUGUAUAAGUAUUUUAAAAGCGCGUUUUGCAAGAGAAUGGAAAUCAAAAUUCUCUUCUCUGUUAUUUAUUAUUGCGGUGCUGAUUUUGGCGGUCUUGUCUUUUUGCGUUUUGAGUACCAUCGCAAUUAAUGAUAUGUACCACCAGUGGUACAUGUACCACAUGUUGAGAACCGCUGAUUUAGACCUUUGAGAGCAUCUCACUUAAUGGGUGCCACCUUGCUUAAUGCAGAAAAAUGUGUAGCAAAUCCAUCAGCAGAAUGUAUACAAUUAUACGUAAUACAUAUACAACAAACAAUACAUAAAUACACAAAAAAAUCAUAAUUUGAUUAUCCUUUCGAUUAUUAUAUGGUUAUCCUGAAAGUACAAACACCACUUUCAAAACUAGCAGCAUAGCUGUUUGCUAUUUAAUGUACAGUCGGAAAAAUGAAAGAAUGCCCAUGAACGAUCACAUCAAUCACUUAUUUUGUAUUUGCUGUCCUUUUCUAUAUAUAACAAACGUUUGCUAUAAAAAAAGAAGCAAAUACAAAAUAAGUGAUUGAUGUGAUCGUUCAUCGGUAUUCUUUCAUUUUUCCGACUGUAAUUUUUAUCACAAUCACAUUAUGGCUUACGACAUGCCACAAGAAAACAGUUUAGAACCUUUUUAUGUAAGCUAUUUUCUUGUUAUUCUUAACAUCUCAUAGUAUAUGCAAUUUUAGACGCGUAUUUUAGUAUUUGUAAUCCAUAUGUUUUUAAUCUCCGCUAUCUUAGCACCUCAUAGUAGCAUAUUUGCAUCAUCAACAAUGUCAAAAAAAGUGAUUUGUCCUGUAGCUGAACAGUAUUUUUAUUAUUAUGUGUCACCGGAAGGUGACAUUAUUGCGUUCGCGGGUACAGUGGACAAAUUGUCGCCGACAAUUUCUAACCUCACUCAAUAUAAGUAAUACUGUUAGUAGAUAAAUAUACAAGGUAUAUUUACUUUUAAUUAAUAAUAAUAACUACUUAUUAAAUUAUACUAGGUAAAUAUAUAACGGGUAGUUCUUUCAAGAUGAUAGACUCAGUAAAACACAAGUUAAAAAUAAAGUAAAUAUAUUAAAGAUAAUUAUAUACAGUUUAAAACAAAUAAAAUAAAAUAUAAUUCCGUCUUCUGCAAAGGAAAAACAAUAUUAAACUGUAUUACAGUUAUCCGAUUAUAAUAGCAACAUUAAAAUAAUACGAUAAACAGUAUAUUUAUAUAUAAUAAAAAUCUCGCUACGUUAAAUCAAGAUAGCCCUAUAUUCCGAUCCGGAGAUUAUUCCUCGCUACUACCGCCUACUGCGAUAACGAUCAUGGCAAGACCCACGUCACUACUGUGGCGUCCGCCUAGGCAUAGUCCCACCUCACAUACGGUGCAUCUUUUGCCAAGCCAGCUAAUGCUGGUUCAAUACGCUAGCAGCAGCUGUUGAGCCAUGGUUAGUUCAAUUCGCUAGCCACGACUGAUUUUAUCAUUCACCUGGCUCGCCUUAAAUAUGCUCUUGCUGCCACUACUUCUUCAAUUUCUCCCAGCGGCGCUAUGCGCCAACACGGAUGCUCCUCCGGUCGUCUCUGGUAAAACAGCUCAUCGCUUGUGGUGGCAUCACAUCGGUACAAAUAUACUUUAUUUAUCUAUUAACGAUAUUGUUUAUUUCAUUUUAAAGUGCGCAUGCGUUUUGCUGCUAAUUUGUCGCCGACAGGCACCCGCGAACGCACUUAUAAUACCGAAACUACUAUUAGAAAAAGUUUAAAAGUCGACUUGUCUGAGUGAUUUUGUUUUAUCGUAAAAAUAAACAACUUGACAGAGGGUAAGGUUCAAACGCUGUGGAUCUACGCUGCAGCGCUACGCUGUGGAUCCACAAAGUAGUUUCUGAUGAUUGGCCGUGGGUUCUUGUGUGGAGUGGACGUUCCAUCCCAGACGAGCGACUAUGGCUGGCCAUUGUCGCUCGUCUGGGAUGGUACGUUUGAUUUGCAUGGAAAUUUACGGCUAAUCAUCGGAAAAUACUUUGUGGAUCCACAGCGUAGCGCUGCAGCGUGGUCAGUCUGUUUUGAACCUAAGACUUUAUCUCCUCACUGCAUAUAAGGUAUUGCGAUUGCGGAACUAAUUUUAUUAAUUUAUUUUUCUCGAAUAAGGAAAAGACACCCUUUUUUAACUUAUGCAUCCUUUUUAACGCAAAUUAGUCCUAUAAGAGAACAUGUACCUUGCUGUCCGUUAUUUUAAUACGUAUUUUAUUCAGAUCGGUAAGUUAUAUACAUAAGAAAUUGUUGUUUUAAAAAGACAAAAACAAAUAAAAUAGGUUACUUUUUAUACUAGAUAAUUUCAUAUUUCGGUUGUUAUAUUAGGCUAUAAAAGACACAUCGAAAUAGUUUCACGUAGGAUAAUUGAAACACCAGUGAAUGUACACUACAAAGAACAAACUAUUGCUAAAUGAAACAUUAUUUGUGUUAAAUUUAGGUAUUAAUUAUCAAUUGGUACAAACUGUCAUGAAAAUAUUUAUGAUUUUUAUCAAAGCUCAACACUGUCAUGCUGUCAUCGCAUUUGAAUGUAUAUAGAAGGCUUUAUAAUUGUUAAAUUGUUACAAUUUCAAUUCUUCUAAUUUAUAAUGAAUUUUAACACUUAAUUUAUUUAGUUUUUAUUUAAUUUAUUUGCACACAUUAUUUACAAUAAUUUAUAUAACACAUUUUACUAUAAUUUAUAUACAUUUGUAAAACAAUAUAAAACGGAUUUAAGCGCGCACAACUACAAUCAUAAUAUCAAUCCCUACAAGACUUUAUUCUCUAUUUAUAUAUUUUAUUUCGCUCUGGAACCAUCGGAGCCGGCCCUAAUCUAGAAAUUUCCAGUCCAGUUAGAAUAAUUGUGAAGUCCGCUCAUCGUAUAAAUCUGUACCUGGAACGCGUAGAGCCUUCUUCAAUGAACUCGUAUUUUUCUCGUCUAUCACUGGUUCUCGGAUCCACACACUAUAUUUUUUAAUAUAUAACAGGGGUCUCAUGUAACCGACAAGACAAAUCCCAAAGCUGAUGACUGAGUCUCAAUAGAUCGCAGUGUGGAAACUGCUCUACCAGAUACCGAAGAAAUAUUCUUCUUGAGAAUAUCUCUAAAUUGAAGCACAACUUUCACUUACUGGCUUCUACAAUCCAAUAUAUCACUGCACGCCUCUCAAAACACUAUCGGGCGUGACUCAAAAAAGUAUACUCUAGCUAGAGGUUGACUAACAAACAUGGUCCGCUCUUCUCAAAGCCGACCCUGAAAUUGAAGUUGCUUCUCAAUAAAGGUUCCUCCCGGGAUUAUACCCCAUCAAAUCAAACGACAAUCGUUUAUGUAAUAACAAACUCGAUAUACUGGACAAAUUUUUAGAAUAGAUGUACAAGAGGUUGUCAGCAGCGUUGCAUUAAUUCGUCCUUAAAUCCGUAGAAUUGAGCGAUGCAUAGUUGCCACAUUUAAAACUAAGCUUUUAAUCCAAUAUUAAAGUUACAUAAUAGAUUCUUGACAGUUUGUUCCAAUUGUUUUAUUGUAAGUUUAUUAAAAUAUUUAACAUUACCAAAGAUUUAGUAAAUAACGUUAAUUUUAUUGUGCAAUUAUCCCAACAAAUCGUUUUGAAACAUUCUAAAUACGGUAGGUAUCUGUAGUAUUAAAACAAUUUGUUUAUGCAUGUCUUUAUAUUUAUUUGAUAUUAUGUACCUACACUGGGACCAUCACAUCAGAGAAGAGUUUGCAAGUGCUUUGUUGGGAUAUUAUUCAAAUUAGGUAUAAGUUUGAUAUAUUAUUAAUUUUUUAUAUCUUUCAAGUUUUCACUGCCUUGGAAUUCAGCAAGACUCAUAGGGCACUAUUAACAUGACAUGACUCCUCCAUAUUGUUUUGACGUUAUGAUUUUCACUGAAUUAUCAUACAGGGUGGGGCAUUAGUGUGACAAAGUCCAAUUACUCGUUUGUCGUAAGAGAUACGAAAAAAAAUAUUUAGGUAAAAGUUGGGGUACAUAUGGGACCAUAAUUUACAAAUAUUUUCCAAUAUACAGGGCCACCCGUAUUGACGGGGUGCACAAACUUAUGUUUUUUUAAAUGGAACACCCUGUAUAUUUUUACAUUUUUAGAUUCUCCUCGAUGUCUUAUUUCAUAAAAUAUGGGGUUUUGUAAUAUUAUACGAGGUAGUUUAAAAGGUAAUUUUUUUUUUGUUAAUUUCGUAGCAAUAUUCAAACCCGGUAGAAUUGAAGGGAUUUAACAUUAAAAUUUCUAUUUAUGUUCAAACAAAUUUUAAUACAAUCUACUAUUGUUAAAUAUUAUUAAUAUAGCGAAAUGUUUAGCUUGGGAGCAGUCGCGCUCACUUCUGUCACGUAAGUAGUCAAGCGUAGAGAAAAAAUCUCACAAUACAAAUUUAAAUACGAAUUUAAAACAAAUUUCUAUUUUAUAAUAUUUUUAUUUACUUGUCAUGUUAAAAAUAUCUAUUUCUAACAAUUUGAAAGCUAAUUGGUUCUCACCAAAGCCAUAAAUUCCACAAAAAAAAAUUAAAAAAAUGUUGCAAAAUUUUUCAUUAAGUUAUCACGGAAAAGGAUAAAAUGUGAGAUUUUUUCUAACGGCGCGACUGCUCCCGGGUUAAUUUUAGUAUACAGCGUUGGUCGAAACUCGAAUGAGUAUUUUCUGAGUUUUCUUAAAUGGAACACCGUGUAUUUUAGUAUUGUAAUGAAAUGAGUUAUUCGUGAUUUUUAAAGUCAAACAUUAAUUGCAACAAAAAUUACGUGAAAUGUUAUUAAGUGGCCGUGAAAAUAUUCAGUCAUAAAUCAUUUUUCGAGAAAAAAUACAUAUUAAUCUAUACUGAUCAUUUAUAUAUCAAUAUUGGUUGAUCUAUCAAAAUACCUACGUAGUUAAGCGUGUUGGUGCGUAAAAUAUUAAUAAAAACACAAUAUUCUACCUAGUUGGCUAUGACACUAAACUUGCUUAAACAUUUGACAUUAUACUAUUUUUAUAGUUUUAGUAGCUUUGUUUGUUACUAUUACUAAUAUGAACUUUUCUAAUGAGGAACUAAUGAAUAUCUUUUUUCUGCUAGGAGAGUAUAACAAGAAUGUGCUACUAGGAAUAAUAAAAAUUUACCGUCAGCAAUUCCUUGAUCGAUGACAACCAAGAAGGGAAGGUUUUGAAAGUUUACUAGAACAGUUUCAACGGACUGGAUACUAAGAUUACGAGAAAUCUGAUCGAACAAAAACUAUUGUAAAUGAGUAAAAUUGUAAAUGAGUAAAAUGGAUUAAAUGUAAUCCUUAGUGUCACUGAGGAUCUGCAUAUUAGUACGACCGUUCUCAUAAUCUAAGUGACAGGUAUGUUGAAGUUGAAAUCGUUUUAGUAAACUUUCAAAAGUAGUUUAUCUUCUUGGUUGUCGUCUAUCAGAUAAUUGCUGAUAAUAAAUUCUUAUUGCUAAAGUAGAAGCCAUAGUUAGAAUACAGUGCAGGUAGCAUAGGGCAAUUUAUUUCUUACCGGAGAACGGCCGACCACGUUGCCGGUUUUCCAUUAGGACGGGAUUUAAGAAUCAUAGCACUGGAAUAUACGCGUACACAACAAUUGCCUAUGGUUGUAUACACGCACCUACCACUGUGCCAACAUGAGCGGCAUCCAUGCGCGCCGUAAGACUAACACUGCAUUCUAACUCUGGCUUUUACUAUAGUAGCAAAUUUUUGUUAUACUAUCCUAGCACAAAAACCACAUUAAUAAGUUCCUUAUUAGAAAAAUUCAUAUUAGUAAUGGUAACAACGCAACUGGAACUAUAAAAAUAGUAUAAUGUCGAAUGUUUAAGCAAAUUUAGUGUCAUAGCCAACUAGGUAGAAUAUUAUAUGUUUUUUAUAAUAUUUUACGCACCAGCAAGCUUAACUACGUAGGUAUUUUGAUAUCAUAACCAAUAUUGAUAAAGGAUCAGUCUAGAUUAAUAUGUAUUUUUUUUUGGAAAAAUAUUUUAGAUUUAAUAUUUUCAUGGCCACCUAAUAAAAUUUCACGUAAUUUUUGUUGCAAUUAAUGUUUGGCUUAAAGAAUCACGAAUAACUCACAAAUUAAAGCACUUAGGUAUAGGGAAUGCUUAAGAAAUAAAAAAGUACCCUACAAUAUCAUUCCAUUACAAUACUAAAAUACAGGGUGUUCCAUUUAAGAAAACUCAGAAAAUACUCAUUCCAAGUUUCGACCAACCCUGUAUACUAAAAUUAAACAUUUCGCUAUAGUAAUACUGUUUAACAAUAGUAGAUUAUAUUAAAAUUUGUUUGCACAUAAAUAGAAAUUUUGAUGUUAAAUUACUACAAUUCUACAGGGUGUGAAUGUUGCUACAUUAACAAAAAAACGUAAUUAUCUUUUAAACUACCUCAUAUAAUAUUACGAAAACCCAAUAUUUUAUGAAAGAAGACAUCGAGGUGAAUCUAAAAAUGUAAAAAUAUACAGGGUGUUCCAUGUUCCAUUUAAAAAAAGUUUGUGUCACUCUGUCAAUACGGAUGGCCCUGUAUAUUUGAAAAUAUUUUUAAAUUAUGGUUCUGUCUGUGUCCCAACUUCUAUCUAAAUCAUUUUUUCUUCGUAUCUCUUACGGCAAACGAGUAAUUGGAUUUUGUCCCACUAAUGCCCCACCCUGUAUAUAAUGUUGUUAAUUUACUCCAUGUGUCUUGCUGUACUAAAAAACUGGAUUUGAAUUAUUUAAUGAUUAACAAGUGCUCAAACUACUAAAACAAUAAGAGUCUCCAUUAUUUCAAUAGAUUCUUCAUUUUUAAACAAAAACUUUAAUUUUACCUGGCGCGGCCCGAAUAAUUUUAUUAAUUGCUGUCUCUUUUUAUAUUUUCUAUCUCUUUCUUCCUGGGUAUUUGGCAGUUCAUCCAGAAGUGUCAACCUUUAACUUUUUCCUAUUUCUGUUAAAUACAUUUCAUCCUCUGUUCCUUAAAUAUAUGAUGUACUUUGGUUGUGUUUUUAAAUUUUGUUUAAUUUAUUUAUAUUAACCUCAAGAUUGGCGUCAAAUGUCAUUUCCUAACUGUUAGUGUACGUUCAUAACGGAGACCAUCGCAUCGUAUCCUCGCCUAGAUCCUAGCAUCGUAUCCUAGCCUAGAUCAUAGCAUCGUAUCCUAGCCUAGAUCAUAGCAUCGUACUCUUCAUGUUCGUGAAUUCUCGCAUUUAUGCAUUUAGGUCAGGAUAUGAUUGCGAUGGUCUCCGUUAUGAACGUACACUUAGAAACCAAGAUUGAUGCUAUGUUCUUAUAUUGUUUUAAAAUAAUUACAAUAUCAAGUCAUAAAAUAGUUUUUGAUGAUUUAGAUAACGUUUUAGCACUAACUCUAUAGUGGCAGCUUGAAAACUAUUAAUUACAGUAAUGUAAUAAUAUUUAGUAUUUUUUUUUUACUUUUUUGUACUAAGCAUAAUUAUGUGAUUAAUGCUAUUUAUGUAUACAUUUUUAUCACAAUUUUAUUAUUAUUUUAACUACUUAAUUAUCUAAUUGGCGUAUUGAAUGAAGUGUUGUUGCUCACGAUUAAUUUUAAUUAAUGUUAACGAUACUUUCCAGCAGAUGUCUCUUGUGAAAUGUAAGUUACACUUAAACUAUUGGUUAUAUCCUCGUAAAUCCAUCGUACGUCUUCAAUUUGAUGUCAUUUUCGUACAGCACUUUUGUGGCUUGGUUCCCUUGUGUAAAACAACUCGAGUGAAUUCAAAGUUAACAAACAUUUAUUUUCCAUUAUUGAGUUACAUAAUAAGGCGUAUAAUCUAAAAAAUGUUAAUAUGAAAUUACUGGGAUUUAAUAAUUUGUUCGAUUUCAAAAUCUGGAAGUCCCAUGAAUUCAAGAAAAGAGUUGUUUUAAAAAAAAUCCACUUUUGUGGCUUGGUUCCCUUUUACAAAAUAACUUAAGUCAAUUUGCAUAAAGGAACCAACCCACAUGGAUCUCUUCUGCAGAACGCUGUCAUGCUGCAACGAUAAUUUUGGUUGGUUCUUUCGCUCAUAGAGGACGGUAUAUAUCGUAUGUGGCUUGGUUCUUUUCUGCACAAUUAUCUACGGAGUAUUUUACAACCUAUGAGACUAUUAAUAGGAAAAAUACAUAUUUGUGGUUUGGUUCUUUUCUGCAGAAUCCCAUCCAAUUAUAUUACAGUCUACAACAAGCCCAAAUGUAUUUUAUAAGUUUCCAUGAAAUAAAAAUAAUUAAAAUUACUGAUUAACUCUUUGAAAGAAAUAAAUAAUAGGUUUGUUCUAGCAUCAGUUUCAAACGGUUUGAAACCAUCAGCGAAUAGUGGACCAGCGCGAGUAGAGGGGAUCGCAGCACUGGUGACUGUAUUAUGUUCUCUCACUGACCAACUGGUUGAUGACGGUUUCUGACUAGUUUGACUGUUUGCUAGAACAAACAUAUUGUCAUUUAAAUGAAACAGGUACAAAUAUGACAAAACUAAUAGAUCACGGUAAAAACAAAUAAAAACUUGUGGCUAACGGACCUGCUUCCAAGCCAUCUCUCUCUCACACACACAUACGAUUAUUUUUUUCCUUUGUAGUAAUAUGUUCACAUAUAUGAAUUCCCGUAUAGAUUUCGGAUUAUUUCCUUUAGUUAACGAAAUUUUAAGCGGUUGGAUGUAAAUUGACGACGUGCAAUGGACUUGAGAGGAAAUAAUAUAUAGUAAUUUUCAGAUUAGCUUAUUCGAAAAAUAAAUAUCACCUUUUACACUUUGGAAUAUUUGUAUCCUUUCUUAAAUCACAUGUAGCAUCGUUGUACAAUAAGCGCCACGCUAGUAGACACACGGGUACCUAAUUGCUGGGCUUGGGCAAAUCCGGUCCGUUCUCACCUGUGACUUUCAUGUCUGUCAUGUCGUGUGACUCUUAUGAAACUAUUCAAAAUAAUUGUUUUUCCAUACAAAAAAUACAUUAAUUAUUAAUAGUGUUGUUACUCUGCUUUAAAAUAAGUUUAUUCAAACACCAAUAAUAUUACAAUACUUUAUAGCUUUUACAACUUUAACAGCAUGACAACUAUAAACUUCAAAUACACCUGUUCUAUAAACUGUCAACUUUCUAUGUUUAUAUUGAUUUCCAUACAUUUUCUGACGUUCUAGACGUCACGAGCCAUAAAAGUAAACAGUACAACAAGUGAAAGAUCCAGGACUGUAUUAGCUCAAUGUACCCGUGUGUCUACUAACGUGGCGGUUACUGUAUAUUCGUCCGUCAAAAACCCCAACCGUAGUGAAAAAUAAAAGCUUUUUUCAAAAUCUCCAAGUCAUAUGCCACUUAUUAUCUAGCUGGAAGUACACAUUAGCUACAUAACCAUUUAUUUUACUAUAGAAAUGCAAUAAAGUAGUGUAAUAGAAACAACGAACGAACAAAACCUACCAGUAAGUUUAGUAUACAAUUUUAAUGUUCCAAACUAAAUAAAAACUUUAAAUAGCAAUACAUACACAAAAAAAAAACAAUUUGUCAGUUACUGCUCUACCGUCAAAUAUAUGAGAAAUAUUGCACCAUAAUUUGUGCGAUGUCAUUCCGUCAUUUUUUAUAGGUUAAUAUCCACUACUUGAUGUUAAAUAAAUCAUGUUGUAUAUGUUGGUACAACCAACAUAAUACCUUUCUCAUACGAAGACAUACGUCUAGAAAUACUUAUUUAAAAUAAGUGCUCUAUCUCUCUGUUUGUGUGUCCAACGCCGUUCCUCCGUCUCUCUUUUCAUCUAUUGUGUUCAAAUUUCUACAGUUUGCAUGGCUUCCUCAGCUAGGCCCAAGUUCUAAAAGCGCUGUCAACCCAAUAACUCUUUUAAUUUAGUGAAGAUAUUGUAAAUCAGUAUACCAGUUUCAAGUAGUAAAAUAAAUGAGUCCUUCACGGGUUAAUAUUUCUAUGAUUAUUACACGUUCAGUGAAGUUAAAAAUGUCGCGUAGUACCUUUGAGCAUUAAAUGGAUCAAUAAUAUUUUUCCCCUUUUUCUGGUCUAAAAUACGUUUGCCAUAGAUUUUAUUACGACACGUAGUGUUUUUUACUGUUGGAUAAUGAAACAACCCUUUCAAUUUCAUUUUCUGGCCCUCCCUCUUAAAAUAAAUCCAACCGGAUUUACUUUUCUUAUAUUUUGCUUUAGAAGAAGGUAACAGUAGAGCCCUUAGAAUAUAAAAUAAACUUUAAAUCUUAAACAAUAAGCUUUAAAGCUUAACUUAAAUAUUCUAAGGUAGAGCUUAUUAACCUCUUAAAAAAAGACGGUGUGACAUUGAAAUGAAUUACUUUCUACUUUAAUAAUUAUAUAGAGAUAACACUCAAAAUAUCAAUACAAUCACAAAUACCAUUUACCAUAGACUUACCUUAGCUUUAUUCCGAAGACAUUUAAUAUAAACAUAAUUCUCCGUUCAGAGUAGCAAUACUUACUGAUAAAUGUGACUAAAAUAACGCAAACAUUAUAGAUAGUUCCCACUUUAAAAUUUAGAUUAUACAGAAUAAAAUAAACUAAAAAUGGGAGACAAACAAUAUGUUACAUAUGUAUAUAUGUUUUUGAUGUGCGACAAGAAAAAAUAUUUCUUAUAAAUAACUUUUAUGGCAAAUAAUAUGUUAAAUAACUGAUUAUACAGGGUCUAACAAAAAGGCAGGUCAUAAAUUAAAUCACAUAUUCUGCGACCAAAAAUAGUUCUAUUGAACCUAACUUACCAUAGUACAAAUGUGCACAUAAAAAAGUUACGACCCUUUGAAGUUACAAAAUGAAAAUCUGGUUUUUCCAAUAUAUCGAAAACUAUUAGAUUUUUUAUUGAAAAUGAACACGUGACAUUCUUAUGGCAGGAACAUCUUAAAAAAUAAAAGUGAAAUUUGUGCACCUCAUAAAAAAUGUACGAGGGUUUUGUUCCCUUAAACUCCCCCAAACUUUACUAUCCCAAAUUGUGGUACCAUUAGUUAAACACAAUGCUUUUAAAACUUGUUUGUCUCUUAGUACUUUUUCGAUAAGCCAGUUUUUAUCGAGAAACAUUUUUUAAAUCCACCACAUAUUUGUAAAUGGUUAAGUAAGAUUAUAGAGAAUCUGGUUGUAAUAUGAAAAUUUAUUUAUAAUUUACAUUUUUUAGGUAUAUUUUGAAACAUAUUAAAAAAGAAGCCACAUCUCGAAAAAGCUGGCUUAUCGAAAAAAUACUUUUUUAGGCAAAAAGUUUUAAAAACAUUUUGUUUGAUUAAUGGUACCACAAUAAUAAUUUAAUUGGAACGUACACAAACAUUUACGGGGUUUAAGGGAACAAAACCCCCCAAAAAUUGUUAUGGGGUGCACAAAUUUCACUGUAAUUUUUUUUUUAGAUGUUCCUGUCAUAAGAAUGCCACGUGUUCAUUUUGUAAGUUCAAAGGGCUGUAACUUUUUUUAUGUGCACAUUUGUACUAAGGUAAGUUAUUCAAUCAAACUAUUUUUCAUCUCAGAAUAUGUGAUUUAAUUUAUGACCUGUCUUUUUGUUACACCCUGUAUAAUAUAAAUACAUCACAGAAAAUAUUGUCAGUCGCUUAUAUAGUACCUAAUUUAUUUUUUCUAGCAUAUAUUUCGUGAUAUUCAAUAUAUUACAUAAUGGGGCAGCUGUUUAAUGGUAAAUUUUAUGCGUAAAGGUUUUGGUAACUAGUUCUAAAUUAUUUUUUGUAAGAUCAACAGAUUCCAUAAGUGGAUACAAGAGUUCAAUACUUGUUCACAACUUUGUUAUCGAUUCUAUAGCUUGUUAGUCAAAAUCUUAUUUACCUUUCGCUGUUGCCAAAUUAGGUACUGUACCGACAUUAUAUCCAAACACAGAAUAAUUUUGUGUAUUAUGUGUCAGUGGCAUCUCGUGUGAGCACUGGGUACUAUAUUAUUUACAUUUUUACGAAAUGUACAUAAAAUGCAUUUGGAUAGGAAAUUAUUGCCGAAUCCCGAUUAUCAAACAUUAUUUGAUACAGGGUUGAUAAUAAAAACAAAACUUAGAGUAAGAGACAAUCUAAUAUUUGAUUCGCUAAUACCCAAAAUAGAUUUAUAUAUGUACACACUUGUUAGAUAAUUGCAUUUUUACCGUGUUUAGAAUUAAAAUAAUAACAUAUCUUAAGCAUUUUACGUUUAUAAUUGGUAAAGUGAAAAAACGAUAAAUCAGUAGAGAAAGAACAGAAUAAAAAAUUAUUUUUAUUUCUAUUAAUAUGCUAUGUUCCUCUGUCAUUUCGCUUUAAACUUAGUUCCAGUUAUCCCAUAAUAGUUUUUUCUGUUUUCCUGUUUGUAAUAUAUAAUAAUCCUAAGCCUAUUAUGCUAAAGUCCGUCCCACCUUGACUUUACAGUAUAGGGAACAUAGGCAAUGCAGUCCUUAUGAGAAUUUUUAGCGCGGUUAUGCCGAUUUUAUCGAAAAGAAUUUGUAAUCGAACAUUAGAGAGAUUAAAUUAAAACUGUUUUAGAACGGCAAUAUACAAUUUUAGGAUUCAUAUGCGUAAUAACUCUAGUAUAUUUUUUUCCGUCAACGUUUUUUAAUACGUGAGUAUUUUUCAGUUUUACGGGGGUAUAUUUAAGUUUCUUGUGGAGGUUGAAACUGUCGUGUUUUUUUAGAGGUCUUUUAUUUCUUGAUAUGAGUUUUCGAGCCAAGAUUCUUUGGCUUGCUUAAUUUUUCUUUUUACGAGUUUGUCGAUAUCACAGUAUUUGUUAAUAUUUCUAUGUGUCAUCCACUCAUUUUUUGCCAGUAGGUACUCAUUAUAGGUGUUUUCAAAGACUCUUACUUCGUCUAAAAUCGAUUUUUCUAUGUUGUACCAAUAUUCGUUGAUGGUUCUAUUUAUGUUUGGUAUAUUCGUUAUUUUGUGUAUUUUUCUAUUUAUCUGCGUGAUAUGUGUUCCCGUGUUUGAGGGUUUCUAAAGGGGUCGAGAUAUAUCUUACUAGGCUUAGUUAAUUUCUUUAAUUUGAUUUGUAUUUUGGAGCAGAGUAGAUUAUAAUUUGAGUUUAUAUCAGCGCCGAGGUACGUUUUUACAUAUUUAAUAUUGUUUCCAAAUCGGUGGUUUACUAAGAAAAAAAACUUUAUACUUGUUACUAAUAAUAAUUAUUAUCAACAUCGUUUUGUUACUGUAAGUUGAUUCAUAUACGUCAUUUAUAAAUGGCCUGUUUUUUAAUAAAACAUAAAACUCACUGCAGUUUUUUUAUAGUAUUAAUGUUUGAAAAAAUUCUCAAGGUAUGUCCAUUUAAUUUUCCUGAGACUGAUUCCCUUUCUUCGAAAUAUCUAGUUUAAUAGUAAUGCAAACAUUGUCACUAUCACAGCAUUUAUUGUUUUCGUUUUUAAAAGAGUGAUAUAUAUUGUAGAAAAAUGCUUCAUCAGGUAUAUACAUGUGUAUUUAUUUUGCAUGAAGAAAUAUAAUAGUUUUUACAAA